AGAGUUUGAUCCUGGCUCAGGAUGAACGCUAGCGACAGGCCUAACACAUGCAAGUCGAGGGGCAGCGGAGAGGUAGCAAUACCUUUGCCGGCGACCGGCGCACGGGUGAGUAACACGUAUGCAAUCCACCUGUAACAGGGGGAUAACCCGGAGAAAUCCGGACUAAUACCCCAUAAUAUGGGCUCUCCGCAUGGAGGGUCCAUUAAAGAGAGCAAUUUUGGUUACAGACGAGCAUGCGCUCCAUUAGCCAGUUGGCGGGGUAACGGCCCACCAAAGCGACGAUGGAUAGGGGUUCUGAGAGGAAGGUCCCCCACAUUGGAACUGAGACACGGUCCAAACUCCUACGGGAGGCAGCAGUGAGGAAUAUUGGUCAAUGGUCGGCAGACUGAACCAGCCAAGUCGCGUGAGGGAAGACGGCCCUACGGGUUGUAAACCUCUUUUGUCGGAGAGUAAAGUACGCUACGAGUAGUGUAUUGCAAGUAUCCGAAGAAAAAGCAUCGGCUAACUCCGUGCCAGCAGCCGCGGUAAUACGGAGGAUGCGAGCGUUAUCCGGAUUUAUUGGGUUUAAAGGGUGCGUAGGCGGCACGCCAAGUCAGCGGUGAAAUUUUCGGGCUCAACCCGGACUGUGCCGUUGAAACUGGCGAGCUAGAGUGCACAAGAGGCAGGCGGAAUGCGUGGUGUAGCGGUGAAAUGCAUAGAUAUCACGCAGAACCCCGAUUGCGAAGGCAGCCUGCUAGGGUGCGACAGACGCUGAGGCACGAAAGCGUGGGUAUCGAACAGGAUUAGAUACCCUGGUAGUCCACGCAGUAAACGAUGAAUACUAACUGUUUGCGAUACAAUGUAAGCGGUACAGCGAAAGCGUUAAGUAUUCCACCUGGGGAGUACGCCGGCAACGGUGAAACUCAA
rnacentral:rRNA from 1 species